rnacentral:lncRNA from 1 species
GGAGUACUGCAAGGACGGACGCCGCUUCCGUUGAAGUUAGGUGAGCUUGCGAGUCCGCGACGACCUUGGUGAUUUUACUACUACUUCUACUCUAUUAGUCAUGGAAUUCAGGAGAGCUUGGGUUCGAAUAUUAUUUUCUGGGAUUUUUAUCGGGGUGUAUGCAACUGUAUAACUAUAAAUUGGCUUGCCCCUAGGUGUUCUUGGUUGGUGAUUCGGCAAUGAUUUGAAGUGGUCUGGCUUAUGAGCCGGUGGUUAGGUGGAGUCGGGUUAUUAUAGUUUCGGUACAGGAGGGGGAAAGGUGGCACAAAUAUGGGGGCAGGGCAUGUUUCUGCCUGAUUGAUACAAUCAUUUUUUUUCUUCUAGUAUCAAUCAAUCAUGCCAGCAUCUGAAACGGACUAUCAAAUCUGAAUUGGCACUGUUUUUUAUAUAUAAUGAUACCAUACAGCUCGAGAUGAACAUAUGCUUGACUGAAUAGCUGUUCAUACAUCUGGAGGUGUUACUAUGAGUACAAUUAGCAUUCAGAAAGAAAAGAAUUAUGAGUAAAAUGCAGAGAACGCACUUCCAGACUAUCAAUCAUGCAUGCCCAUAUCAUUUGCUUUGCUUAAUGUUUCUCAGUUUAACUUACUAGUCUCUUGUCUGUGUAUUUUUUGCUGCCAGAAGGGAUCCAAAUAGGUUGUAACUGGGAGUAAAAGAUGUGUCUAAACUGAUCGUCUGGUGCGAAAAUCGACGACCAAGAUCCAGUUAUGUGUAUUGCAGGACAACACCUUUCAUUAGAUACACUUUGAUGCUAUUUCUAGCAUGAUUUUCUAUUUCAGACUUAAAACUAAAUUUCUGAACAACUAAAAUCGCUCUUGUUCCUUAUUUUUUUAGGGCGGUUCCUCUCAUUUUACUGGUUCGUCCUCUCCUUCAUGAUUGAUGUACUGGUUCUGGCCGCUCCUUCGUGAUAGACUCGGUUAACUCUUUGUUAGCCUUGUGGGUCGUAAUUCUUUCUCUCCAGACGCAUAUACUGCCUAAUGUAUUGCUCAUGCUCAUUCUGUACCGAGAUAGUCCUAAUAUCCAUAGGGUUGUAGAUUGAUUUCCCCUGAAAAAGCUAUGCUUCUUUCCUUGGAUGAUAAGCAUGUUCGGCAGCUAUGUGGAAUUCUUAAGAUAAACGGUCUUUAGUAUCUUUUGGUGCAUCUGCGUGCACGUAACAGUCUGUUAGUUUCUCUUUAUAUAAUGAAAAAAAUAUGCUACUGUUGCUUGUUUAUUAUUAUCUAUCAUUUGUAGAUUUAUUUUUAGGCCACCGGUGCUUGUAUGUAUAAUUUCUAGUCUCUUGAAUGAAUAAUUUUUCUUUAUGUGUCAUGCGUCUUGUGUUACUACAUACAUCUGUCGUGAAGUACAUGGUUCCGGAACUAUGGUAACCCGUAGUUUGCUCUACCCGUGAUAGUAGGAUGAUGGAAGCAUCACUACUGAAUGUAGUUCAUGUUUCUUCAUAUAAUCAUCAUUUACUAGAGUUUCUCUUCUUCUUGCUACUGCUUGGUUUUUGACGCCACUAGCUUGUACUAAAACGUAAACACAUCAUAUUGUUUUCAUCAGACUAGGGUACCUUGAGCAUGCAAAGUAAACACAUGCUACUCCACUUGUCUAUUUGUACAUAAACUUUUUUUAAAAUAAACCGAGCUAAUAAACCAAACGGUGCGAACACAUUCAGUUCUGAAAUUUGUCUACUCCACUUAUUUGAUUGUACUAAAACCUUUGUUUGCAUGUUUCUAAAAUACAGAGAAGAACACCCUGUGUUCUGGUAAAAUAUUUGUUUGCUAUGAUAUGAAAUCCCAUGAUGUGUGUGUUGUUUCAGUUUCUGUAGCUACAACAAAGUCCCAGUUUACUCUGUACUUGCUUUUGAUGAUUGCUGGCUAAAUUUACAGUUGAAAUAAUAGUAGCCAAGGAGUAGAUACAAGACGUAUUUACCGUAUUUUGCAUGGAAUGUUAAAAAUCAGUUUUGUUGCGGUUUCUUGUUCUGUGAGUCAAAUUGCAUAAGAUGGGAGUAUCACAACAUGCAUAUACUGAAGAUGGGAGUAUCACAACCUGAAUGUGCAGCUUAUGUAGUUUCUGUAUUUUUGUUAAAGCAUGGAGUAGCUUCUAUAGUUUCUGUAUUUUUGUUAAAGCAUGGAGUAGCUUCUAUAGCUUCCUCACAAGUUAAUGCUUCGCUCGUCCGGGUGUGUGAUAAAGCCAUUUGUCUUGUGGAAUCAGAUUACAUUUCUGUUUGUUAUGGUAAUAUAAAAAUAUUCGUGCUAUCAAAAUUUUCACAGUGCGUGUCUUUCAUUUCUUUAAUUUGAUUGUUUCCCUUGUAUUCAAUAUGCUUCUAGUGGCUGAUCCUUCCAUUUUUGUUGUGGCAUCUUUAUUUUCACAGGUGUUGUGUGUUCUGGAAGAUGGAAGAGGAAGAAAUUGUUGAACUAAAUUUUCUGUAUUCUGUUUUGUUGUACGUAUCAUUUGAUAGUUUUGUAUAGGAACAAGUGAUACUAUUUUGUAGGGCUUUAUGGCCUGUGAUGUAAACAUAUUUAGUGCUGAAAUAUGAAAUUAUUUGCAAAAUUU